GAUGAACGCUGGCGGCGUGCCUAAUACAUGCAAGUCGAGCGAACAGACGAGGAGCUUGCUCCUCUGACGUUAGCGGCGGACGGGUGAGUAACACGUGGAUCACCUCCCUAUAAGACUGGGAUAAAUUCGGGAAACCGGAGCUAAUACCGUAUAAUAUAUUGAACCGCAUGGUUCAAUAGUGAAAGACGGUUUUGCUGUAACUUAUAGAUGGAUCCGCGCCGCAUUAGCUAGUUGGUAAGGUAACGGCUUACCAAGGCAACGAUGCGUAGCCGACCUGAGAGGGUGAUCGGCCACACUGGAACUGAGACACGGUCCAGACUCCUACGGGAGGCAGCAGUAGGGAAUCUUCCGCAAUGGGCGAAAGCUUGACGGAGCAACGCCGCGUGAGUGAUGAAGGUCUUCGGAUCGUAAAACUCUGUUAUUAGGGAAGAACAAAUGUGUAAGUAACUAUGCACGUCUUGACGGUACCUAAUCAGAAAGCCACGGCUAACUACGUG
rnacentral:rRNA from 1 species